rnacentral:lncRNA from 1 species
GGAAAUUUGAAUGUGUCUCUCUUUUUGGGAAAUAUAUCAUCUUUUUUCUUUUUGUAAUUACAUGUUGGGAGCAAUGCCCUUGAAACCCUCCAUUAUUGAUGUUAUGGUUAGAAUUAAGUAUGACUGGGUUCAUGGAAAAUCCCCAGCCAGCUGCAGAAGACUAAUACAAAUCUGGUGGUCAGGAUGAAUAAUGAUAUGAUAAAGUUCUGACCUUGCUGAGAAAUACAUCUGACAUCAAGAUACCCAAUGUGAUGACCUGUAAGCUUUCUGAAAAACCAACAUCCUGUUGACAUCAGCUGACUACAUGUAUACUGUGCCCUUGGCCUGUGUAAAUGUUUCACACUUCCCCCCUCCCUCUGUUACCCAUGUUAUGGUAUAAAUUCAGCCUUGGUAAAAAAUAAAAUUGUCUCCUUG